CUCCGGCGACAGCGCGUGAGGGAGGAGGCCUGUGGGUUGUAACCUCUUUUCUCAUGGGAAGAAGACCUGACGGUACCAGAGGAAUAAGCAUCGGCUAACUCCGUGCCAGCAGCCGCGGUAAGACGGAGGAUGCAAGCGUUAUCCGGAAUUAUUGGGCGUAAAGCGUCCGCAGGCGGCUAAUUAAGUCUGCUGUUAAAGACUGGGGCUUAACUCCGGAUCGGCAGUGGAAACUGGUUGGCUAGAGUACGGUAGGGGUAGAGGGAAUUCCCAGUGUAGCGGUGAAAUGCGUAGAUAUUGGGAAGAACACCAGUGGCGAAGGCGCUCUACUGGGCCGAAACUGAAGCCAAGGACGAAGGUCUAUGCCC
rnacentral:rRNA from 1 species